GACGAACGCUGGCGGCGUGCUUAACACAUGCAAGUCGAACGGAAAGGCCUUUUCGGAGGUACUCGAGUGGCGCACGGGUGAGUAACACGUGGGUGAUCUGCCCUGCACUCUGGGAUAAGCCUGGGAAACUGGGUCUAAUACCGGAUAGGACCGCACUUUAGUGUGUGUGGUGGAAAGUUUUUUCGGUGUAGGAUGAGCCCGCGGCCUAUCAGCUUGUUGGUGGGGUAAUGGCCUACCAAGGCGGCGACGGGUAGCCGGACUGAGAGGUUGGUCGGCCACAUUGGGACUGAGAUACGGCCCAGACUCCUACGGGAGGCAGCAGUGGGGAAUAGUGCACAAUGGGCGCAAGCCUGAUGCAGCGACGCCGCGUGGGGGAUGACGGCCUUCGGGUUGUAAACUCCCUUCGCCAGGGACGAAGCGUUUUGUGACGGUACCUGGAGAAGAAGCACCGGCUAACUACGUG
rnacentral:rRNA from 1 species